CCUGGUUGAUCCUGCCAGUAAUCAUAUGCUUGUCUCAAAGAUUAAGCCAUGCAUGUCUAAGUACAUGCCGAAAUAAGGCGAAACCGCGAAUGGCUCAUUAAAUCAAUUAUGGUUCCUUAGAUCGUUUCUUCCUACUUGGAUAACUGUGGCAAUUCUAGAGCUAAUACAUGCAGUGAGCCUGGAGCCCUUUGGGUAACGGGUGCUUUUAUUAGACCAAGAUCGAUCGGGUUUCGGCCCGUAUUGUGUGGUGACUCUGGAUAACUUUGUGCUGAUCGCAUGGCCACGAGCCGGCGACGUUUCUUUCAAGUGUCUGCCUUAUCAACUUUCGAUGGUAGGUUACUUGCUUACCAUGGUUGUUACGGGUAACGGAGAAUCAGGGUUCGAUUCCGGAGAGGGAGCCUGAGAAACGGCUACCACAUCCAAGGAAGGCAGCAGGCGCGCAAAUUACCCACUCCCGGCACGGGGAGGUAGUGACGAAAAAUAACAAUACGGGACUCUUUUGAGGCCCCGUAAUUGAAAUGAGUACACUCUAAAUCCUUUAACGAGGAUCAAUUGGAGGGCAAGUCUGGUGCCAGCAGCCGCGGUAAUUCCAGCUCCAAUAGCGUAUACUAAAGCUGCUGCGGUUAAAAAGCUCGUAGUUGGAUCUCAGUUCCAGACGAGUAGUGCAUCUACCCGAUGAGACGGCUCGGACUGAACAUCAUGCCGGUUCUUUCUUGGUGCACUUCAUUGUGUGCCUCGAGAUGGCCGGUGCUUUUACUUUGAAAAAAUUAGAGUGCUCAACGCAGGCGAGUCGCCUGAAUAAACUUGCAUGGAAUAAUAGAACAAGACCUCGUUUCUGUUCUGUUGGUUUUUGGAAUACGAGGUAAUGAUUAAGAGGGACGGACGGGGGCAUUCGUAUUGCGGCGCUAGAGGUGAAAUUCUUGGACCGUCGCAAGAGGAACUACUGCGAAAGCAUUUGCCAAGAAUGUUUUCAUUGAUCAAGAACGAAAGUCAGAGGUUCGAAGGCGAUCAGAUACCGCCCUAGUUCUGACCAUAAACGAUGCCAACCAGCGAUCCGCCUGAGUUACUCAAAUGACUCGGCGGGCAGCUUCCGGGAAGAAACCAAACCGGGGUGUAUUUGGGUUCCGGGGGAAGUAUGGUUGCAAAGCUGAAACUUAAAGGAAUUGACGGAAGGGCACCACCAGGAGUGGAGCCUGCGGCUUAAUUUGACUCAACACGGGAAAACUUACCCGGCCCGGACUGGGAGGAUUGACAGAUUGAGGAGCUCUUUCUUGAGAUUCGGGUGAUGGGUGGUGUCAUGGCCGUUCUUCCCGUCUCCGGUGGAGCGAUUUUGGUGGUACUUCCGAUACACGAACACGAGGACUUCUGCUAUAAAUAGGUGGCGGGGUUCCCCGAGCACCUACAACGCGUUCUUAGAGACGAAGCGGUCCUAGGCCGCACGAAAGAGGCACAAUAACAGGUCUGUGAUGCCCUUAGAUGUCCGGGGCCGCACGCGCGCUACACUGAAGGAAGCAGCGUGUCUUUAUCCCUGUCUGAAAAGACUGGGUAACCCGUG
rnacentral:rRNA from 1 species